UGGGGAAUAUUGCACAAUGGGGGAAACCCUGAUGCAGCGACGCCGCGUGAACGAAGAAGGUAUUCGUAUCGUAAAGUUCUGUCCUAUGGGAAGAUAAUGACAGUACCAUAGAAGAAAGCUCCGGCUAAAUACGUGCCAGCAGCCGCGGUAAUACGUAUGGAGCGAGCGUUGUCCGGAAUUAUUGGGCGUAAAGGGUACGCAGGCGGUUUAAUAAGUCGAAUGUUAAAGAUCGGGGCUCAACCCCGCAAAGCAUUGGAAACUGAUAAACUAGAGUAGUGGAGAGGAAAGUGGAAUUCCUAGUGUAGUGGUGAAAUACGUAGAUAUUAGGAGGAAUACCAGUAGCGAAGGCGACUUUCUGGACACAAACUGACGCUGAGGUACGAAAGCGUGGGGAGCAAACAGG
rnacentral:rRNA from 1 species